rnacentral:lncRNA from 1 species
CUGCACAACACUGAGAAGGGGUAUGAUGAGCUUCUUAGCCCUACUUUACAGAUGAGAAAGUUCAGGCCACAAGAUGAGGUAACCCACCCAAGAUCCCAUACCUUAGACUGGAACCCAAGGCUGACACUCUAGUCUUGGUGCAAAGUGAGGCCAGACCAUGCUGAGGGUCUUACAACCCUACAACCUAUAACUACAGCACCUAAAGUCUGUCUGGCAGGCCAUCCCUGGCUGUGUGGAUGAAGAGGGAGGCUCUCUGUGGUUUGGGCAGGAAUGGUGGUUCAUACUCUUGGUGACCUCACUGUGGAUGCUUUUGCUUGGCCGUGGGGUCAAUGGGAGGGCUCGUGAGCAGGGGUGUUCCACUGGCUAUUUGGAAAGGGCCUCUCUGGAGAAGUGGGCUAGGGAUCUCCAGGAGUAUCUCAGUAUCUCAGCUCCUCCUCUCCUUUGUUCUCAACCCUCUGGGGACUCAGGGCUUUUGGAAGCUCCAGAGGAACUUCUUUCAUGUCUCUAGAAACUUCUAGAUUGCAUCCUCAGCACACUCAGCUUGCAGGUGCCUCCCUGGCCCCAGCUCUGUACCUCAUGAGAGGCACAGAAAGAGUGACUGCCAGGUGCCUCAGCAUGGUAGGUAGCAGGAUUCAAGCCAUCUUGUUUGGGGGCCAGCUGUUCUGAUGAACUGCUUCCUCAAGUCACAGCCUCUGCUGACUGAGAGUCCUGCUGGCCAAGGUGACAGGUUUCUCAAAGUGUCUUCAUUAUGCCUGACAUAACAGGCCCAAAUACAUUUUUCUUUGGAAUGAAUGAGUGGUCAUUCUUCCUGUAGAACUGCCUCCUUUGUAAAUGCUCUCCCUGGCCUCUGAAGGCUUUGGGUGCUUCUCUGACCCCAAGUUGCAUGGCUUUGGGGGGGUGGGGCACAUCUUAGUGUAACCUUUGAAGAUAAAGCUGACAUUGCUGCUCUGCUUUUUGAGAAAGGACAUUGGCCUCAGAGGUUUGAGCCAGGAACUAUCCUGAGAAUAACCAUGUGCAAAGUCCCAGAGGGCCAUACAUGGGUGGCUUCACAUUGUGAAAAUCAUUAUGAAAAUAUACCCCAAAUAUUUCCCCAAAUUAUGAUUUUAACUUUUAUGUUUUUGGCAGUCUGCAGUCUGUCCCCCAUCCCCAGAUGAGAGCCUUGACCAUGGAGAUCUUUUCCUCAGCUCUGGUUCCCCACAAGGCUGGCACUUUGCUAUUGAGAGCUCAGACCUGUGCCGUCUCCUGUCUUAGGCCGCAGGUACAGCCAUGGUCUGUAGCGGGGUGGAAGGGUAAAGCAGUGGGGAAGUGAAAGCUAAAGUCAGAGUUGUGGGGUGAAUCCACAUCCUACUUGUUCAUGAUUCUUGCUGUCUAGAUCUGACUCAGUUAAGCAAAGCAGUAGUUUGUUCUGGGGUAGGAAGACUCCAUUUUUAAG